ensembl:snoRNA
UUACACAGUGAACACCCACUCUCUUGGCCUUGACUCUGUGCUAGAGUAACACACACGUCCUUUUCCUCUGCAUUGAAAGGAGUACUGUCCUUUUAAGUGUAUUCAGAAAAUGAGUACAUCA